CGGCGCGGGUGAGCAGGGUGGCAGCCGAGCCCGGAGGACGCGGCCACCACAGCUGGCGUCCGCCGCUCUGCGCUUCUCCUCGGAGCUUCUCUUGUUCGGCGGGGCCCACCUCACGCCGCCCGGGCCCCGCGGACCUGCAAACCUGGGGCCGCGAGCAGAUCUGCCCUUGGCGCUUUUCUGGGCUUGGCAGAGGGGUUCCGGCCAGAGAUCUCUGGGUUCGCGCUGGCGAUGCGCAGCGAAGAAAGGCGGGGAGCCGCGUCCGGACUGGGUGCUCUCCGAGCGCGAGGAGGCGGGAUGCGCUCGCCGGGGGCGGCGGGGCGCCCUGCACCCGCCCGCGUUGCGCUCCAGCCCCCGGGCCCGGGAAUGCGGCCGUUCGGGCACCCCCGGUAGCGGCGUCCACGCGCUCUCCGAGGGUCCGGAGCGCAGAGGCCGGCUGCCGGCGCUUUGGCCUUGGAUGGAAAAUGCGGAAUGAGAUGGGGGCCUCCGGACCCCCUAACGUGGAUUACUUGGUGCAUGUGAGCGGGACUCAGAAGACCCACGACCUCGUCUCCGUCCGUGGAUCCAUACGUUCUACCCAACAGUCGGGACGCUCACCUGGAGGUGAAAUCAGACGUUUGUGGCUGACCUGGAUAAAUUGCUUCAAACCAAGAAAGAAGGACAAGAGGAAAGGAGAGCUGUGCACAGGAAUCAGGGCCCAACCCAGCCCCGGUGCUCUGCUGGCUUUGGGGGUUUUGCUCCCUCUGCAGCACACCUGCUGCCUGGGCAUCCCUAAUGCACCAGUGUGCCGGCCCAGCGUGGAGAUCAGCAGGCAGGAUCCUUGCAGUUAGCCAUCAGAGAAGGUCGAGAGACGCAGGCCUAGAAAAGAGGAUUGGCACGGGCUGUUCUCCCUCACACACACCUCCCACCGGGAAGCUUGGUGGAGCCAGGUGUGCACCAGGAGCCCCUGAAGGACCUGGCUAAGAUAGGACCAUCUCUUCAGAGGCAAGAACUCUGGAUCUGAUUGAGAAUUCUUAUUUUGGAGACUAAGGAAACUUCUGGAUUUGAGAAGACAUUUGAGGAGAAAGCAAAGACCCUCAGAGACUGAGGAAUGGUCUGUGUGUUGACCAGCAGGAGCUGGAGGUGACCUAUAGCUGGAGAAGACGCCGUGAUCCCAGACCUCGUCCUUUCUCCUGGAAACCAUUUCCUCUGCUGCUGCCUGCUCUUAGAUUCCCCGCUCCAUCCCCGGAACCAAAAGGCUUUCUGCCACACCCUUUCUUGCCCCCUGCCUCCCACGUCUGCUGUGCCUUGGGACUCAGCAAUUCUUGUUUGCUCCAUUAUCUUCUAGCCGGAUACAGAGUGAAUAGUUAACUACGCUUAGGUCAAAUGGGAUCUUAAUUUUUGUUCCUGCUCCUUCUCAAGAGGCGCAUUUGUGUGUUGCCAUGCAAGCAGUCUUGGUACGGGAUCCCUUCUCAUUUAUUUGGGAUCUGGCCCCACAGGUUCUGGAGUGAUGCAAAUCGGUGAAGUUCUUCAGGCUCUCGGAUGCUAGGGAUGUUGGCAGAGGCUCCGGCAGGGGAGCUGGAUCGUGAAGGCUGAUGUUCUCCAGUUCAGCUUUCUUUGUUCAGAUCUCACACAGGUGGACAUCUGGAGGAGCGGAAAACGGACGCCGUUCUUCAUUCCAACCGCCUUCCCUUGGCACAGAUGCACAGUCAGCUGUGAAGGCCCUCUUCCCUCAGGUGGCCGUUGGGGUCCAUGCCAGAACAUGGUGCUUUGUUACAGCCUGCCCAGCUACCAGAGUUGGUGGUGUUUAUUGAGGACCCCCGCCCUCCAGUGCAUGCUGAUGACACACACACUUGACAACAAAAUACGAGUCCUGUUUGUUCCUUUCACUCUGUGGCCAUUAUAUGUGUGGCUGAAAACACUUCCUAAAUAUUGAUCAUAGUUCAACAUUGUCCAAGACGCAGAGCCAAAGAUGUUUCUACUUUCUAUUUCCAAAGUGAAUGACUUGCCUUUGUAAAAAAGAAUUAAAGCUAGACCUGUCUGUCUUCCCUGUGUUGUAGAUGAUGUCUUUGUAUGACUAGUUAGUGGCUUCAGUGUCUUCUCAGUGGAGCGGUGGGAUCCUUCUUGGCAUCUCAGAUUUACCGCAGAAUGAGAGAGGGGAACCUCUGGAGGAGGUCUCCUGCUAUGGAAAUGUGAGGCUCACUUGCGGGCUAUCACCUUCCUCCCUGACCUGCAGACAGACUCGUUGUAUUAGCUAGAUUCCUUUGGACUUCAAGGAAUAGAGACCCACUUGUAUCAUCUCCAUAAAUACUGGCUUAUUCCAGGUUGCCGUGGAAGUAAGGUAGACAGGAGACCAUCCCGGCGGCUACCCAACGAGGCCUUUCCAAGAAGCCCGAGUCAUUCGAGAUACCCAGUCACCAAAGGUGGUUUCCAGGGAUAGCAGGCCUGUAACAUCAUGGUCGUCUUCAUCUCCUACUUAGCAGCAGAAUCCACUGUUUCUGAUUCUAGAAUUCUGCUCUGGUAAUGAGCAGAGGGUGUGACCAACUGCCCCAGUUUGCCCAGGGCUGAUGGGUUUCCUGGAACACAGAACCUUCAGUGCUAAACCUGGGACAAUUCUGGGCAAACUGGAACAGGUCACGCUACUGGGUGACUCGAUGACCCUUCUUCUGCUUCUGCUUGACCUGCUGUAACCGGCCAAUGCUUUAGAUUGGUUUGGUCAGUCGCCAUUCAGAGCUCUUGUGACUGGCCACUUCACUGGCCACUGGGCAGCCUAUUGAUGGAAGCCAUUAGAUUGGGUACCAAUCUUGACCAAAUCAGUUGUUUCCAGGGUGGUAGGGUUGUAUGAAAUUGAAUAAAAACCUAGGUAUAAAGAGCCAUCGGAGACCACUUCCUUCAGAGGAAAACUGUGGACGGUAGGCAUGCCAGGCAUUGAAGGUAUCAGGGGUUCCUCUCCAAUACGAUCCUACUUAGAAAGGAACCGACUGAACCAACUCCUGAGGACUCCAGUGAGGGAGGGCUGCAACGACUCGAGGUUCUCUUAAAGUGGCAACUGUUGUUUUCCCCCUUAUUUCUCCGAUAUGCUUGAAAAUCCUUUUUAUUAGUGACUCCAUUGACCAAC
rnacentral:lncRNA from 1 species